CCAAUCCUACUUAAACAAUACUGGUCUUUCCGCGAAAAAUAAGGUUAAAAAUACUUACAAUUGUAAUCUUUUAUUUUAGUCAUAUGUAGGAUGCAUUUGGCUGAUUUAAGAAGUUUUUUUUUAAAAUUACUAACGAAUCUAUGUAUUUGCUGGAAUAAUUAUGAGGUUAUUUCUGUUCCGGAGAACAUAAACUUCAUCUUCAAGAUAUAAGAGGAUACAAGUACUUGUGUAACUGCCUUUAAUUAUUCACUGUGAUACAAAAUGACUACAUACCAAAAAUCAUUUUAUGGACCAUAUGCGCAUUUGGAAAAAAAAUAUCUCUAGUCUUCCAUGGUGAAAAUAGCCAAAUACAAGAAAUACGACGGAUAGAGUUAUUAUUACAAAAUAGCACGGAACAGAUGCCAAAACAAUCUGAGAAUCGGGAGGAUAAUUUUAGCAUUUCAUCGUUUUGGCAACAAAUAUUUGUUCAUGCAAGAGCGUUAAAUAAAAUAUAUUUCGAAAGAGUUUUAUCUUGGAAAAAGAAUAGGCUGGUGUUAAGCCACACGAAAAUAUCAGGAAAAAGUUUGAUUACACAAAAUCAACGCUAAAAAGUGAAAUAUAAAUGAGAAUCAAGAGAUGUAGACACACCAUUAGCAACAAAACUUUCAUUUUAAGGACAGAGUGUUUGUAGAAAAUGAAUAUCUAAGAAUACAAUCUUUUUUACAUCAGAAAAAUGAAUAAAACACAUUAUAAUCGACUUACAAUUCAAAUUGAUAAAUAAAUUGCAUUCCCGGCUUUAUGGUA